rnacentral:rRNA from 2 species
CAGCCGCCGCGGUAACACCAGCCCCUCGGGUGGUGGGGAUGAUUAUUUGGCCUAAAGCGUCCGUAGCCUGCCGUGUAAGUUUCCCGUUAAAUCCAGCGUCUUAAGCGUUGGACUGCGGGAAAUACUGCACGGCUAGAGAGUGGGAGAGGUCAGCGGUAAUCUGGGGGUAGGGGCGAAAUCCUUUGAUCCCCGGAGGACCACCAGUGGCGAAGGCUGCUGACUAGAACACGUCUGACGGUCAGGGACGAAAGCUGGGGUAGCGAACCGGAUUAGAUACCCGGGUAGUCCCAGCCGUAAACGAUGCAUGCUAGGUGUUGGGUUGGCCACGAGCCACCUCAGUGCCGCAGGGAAGCCGUUAAGCAUGCCGCCUGGGAAGUACGAUCGCAAGGUUGAAACUUAAAGGAAUUGGCGGGGGAGCAC